GGGGUUGUAGCUCAGUGGUAGAGCACUUGCCUAGCAUGUGUGAGGCACUGGGUUCAAUUCUCAGCACCG
rnacentral:tRNA from 1 species